GAAAUGCGAUAAGUAAUGUGAAUUGCAGAAUUCAGUGAAUCAUCGAAUCUUUGAACGCACCUUGCGCUCCUUGGUAUUCCGAGGAGCAUGCCUGUUUGAGUGUCAUGGUAUUCUCAAUUCCCAAGUCUUUUGUGAGACUCUGGUGAUAUUGGACUUGGAGGUUUUUGCUGGCGUCUUACAGAAGCCAGCUCCUCUUAAAUAAAUUAGUAUGGAUAUUCACUUCAUGCUCAGUGUGAUAAUUAUCUGCACUGUGUUUGAGUGGUAUAGGUUCAUGCUUCAAACUGUCGCGAGACAAUACUUUGACUUCUGACCUCAAAUCAGGUAGGACUACCCGCUGAACUUAA
rnacentral:misc_RNA from 1 species